rnacentral:RNase_P_RNA from 1 species
AGUGUGGGCGGUCUAGUCACGUGUGCAAGUCCUACAGGACUUGUGGGCGAGGAAAGUCCGGGCACCACAGGGCAGGGUGCCAGCUAACGGCUGGGCGCGUAAGGCGACGGCAAGUGCAACAGAGAGCAGUCCGCCUACCUCGCCUCGCCUCAGGGCGACCCGCGGUAGGUAAGGGUGAAAGGGUGCGGUAAGAGCGCACCAGUGCCGUUGGUAACAGCGGCAGCUAGGUAAACCCCACCCGGUGCAAGGUCCGAACGAGAGAGAGCCUGCCCGGCUCGC